rnacentral:rRNA from 1 species
CGCGCAGGUGGUUUCUUAAGUCUGAUGUGAAAGCCCACGGCUCAACCGUGGAGGGUCAUUGGAAACUGGGAGACUUGAGUGCAGAAGAGGAUAGUGGAAUUCCAAGUGUAGCGGUGAAAUGCGUAGAGAUUUGGAGGAACACCAGUGGCGAAGGCGACUGUCUGGUCUGUAACCGACACUGAGGCGCGAAAGCGUGGGAGCAAACA